AGGUAGUAGCUCUGGUAGAGUGCAGGACUGUAAAUCCUUCUGUGAGCGGUUCGAAUCCGCAAUCACUUA
rnacentral:tRNA from 1 species